rnacentral:lncRNA from 1 species
CUGAGGCAAAAGGAUCACAGAUGCUGCUCGGGGCCAGCCCUAUACUCCCUCCAGUGCCUGGACUCCCGUGGACCCGCGGGGCUCUGCAGUUCUCAGACGGCCGCGCCUUGUGAGCGCUAAGCCGGGAGGAGGGCGCAGGCAGGGCGCACAGCUCUGAGCGCGCCCCUACCCGGCUCGGGCCCGCAGCAGCCCCGACUGUCCGAGAGCCUCUCCGCAAGCAAGGCUCUGCGCCGCCCUCUGAGCCCACCUCCUGGCCACAACGCCGCCUGCGCUUCUCCAGCCCAGGCCGGAAGCCCUACGCUGCCUCCUGAAGCCGGACUUUCUGGAAGCCCAUCUCCGUAUGCUCACCAGCCCACCCUCCUACGCUGGUCAGAGUGAGAUUGCUAACCUCAAGACCCCAUUCAAUGCCAGCUUUCAACUGCUGCUGAAGACCAAUGUAGGUCCUGGAUUAGAAGAACCGCAGAGUAUCCGGAGCUGGCCGACCCCAGACUGAUUCUCAACAGGUGGCUGGCGAUCAGAGGAGAAUGGCCAGGCUGAGGGGGAAGCGAGGAACAUAUGGGCCCAAGUAGGAUCCUGAAAGAAUUUCGAGAUGCUCCGAGCCCAAAUCAUACAGGCUCUAAGUAUUGGUCAAUAACCAGGAGUGAAACAGAAACUUAGACCACACACUCAAGUCCUUCUUUCUGAAUGAGGGGCUCCAGUGCUAGGCCACAAGUGGCCGCUAUGGACGCUGCAUCAUGGAGUCUCACCUGGUCCCUCCUUCAACCACGCACCUCAGACGGCAAGGAGAGCUAGAUGAGAAGGAGCUGGGGCUCUUGCGAUCUGCAGAGGCAGCACGCUGGUCAGGAGGAACCCAGAACACCUGCCUCAGACACAGCCAGUUUGUCCACACACAAAAGGCAGGGACCCUCAGGGCUGAGGGGCUAUUAAGUCAAACCUGGAGUCACAGCCCCAAUGUCCUCAGACGGUCCCCAACCCUCUGCAGCAAUGUGGACAGUGUGCCUGAAAAGCUUCUUCUCUGAGCUUUAACAACUUUCUGGUGUAACUUCUGAGAGGGCUGAUUGCUUAUUCAUGUGGAAGCAAGACGCCCAGUCCGUUUUGCCUGUUUUUGCUACUCUUUGUUGUCUCGGGGGGAGUGUUAUGGUAGCUGCAAAUGGCUUCUCCAGUGACAUUUGCUGACAUUCAGUGAAGUACAUUUAUCAGCGCUUGCGAGCUCACCUCCGCACAUGCAAUCCAUUUUGUUUUGUUCUUCAUGGUAACCCCCUUCCCAAC